AGGUUGUUUAUCACCACCAAGGUCAGUGGGUUCGUGCUGUCGGAGACUGCAGGAGAUCUGGCCAUAGCAGCUUCGAUUUGCAGCAGUCCCAAACAGGCCCUAAGUACCAGUGGGUUACUUUUUAUACUGGUAUGGAAAGCUGGGCGAGCUGAUUAGGGCCAGGUUCAACGCGCGACUCGGCGCGCCUCGGUUUAGAGAAAUGUUUAACUGAUACCUGACAGGCGGGCUCAUACGGUCAGAAAGCCAGUCAAUACACAGAAAGCCAGUCAAUACACUGUCAAUACGUAUAAACCCCGGUUUUAGUCCUUUUCGUAUCGCCUCAGAUAUGGUACUGAUUCGGAAAAAUUAUCAAUGUUGGUGCCAAUCUGCUUUCAAUGAUCCAGUUCUGGUACCUCCGUGUAAUUUACUCCCGUGAUACCAAUCUCCACAAUACUUAACCCAUCUAGUAAUGCGUGUUUACUAAAAAGAAUCUAGUAAUGGGUGUUUGUCUAAAAAAAAUCUAGCUAUGCGUGAAGUGCUCCUGCAGUUGGAUC